rnacentral:rRNA from 1 species
GCAAGUCGAGUGGUAACAGGGUAGCAAUACUGCUGACGACCGGCGCACGGGUGCGUAACGCGUAUGCAACCUACCUUUAACUGGGGGAUAGCCCCGAGAAAUCGGGAUUAAUACCGCAUAACACUGUGAUAUGGCAUCAUAUUACAGUUAAAACUCCGGUGGUUAAAGAUGGGCAUGCGUGACAUUAGUUAGUUGGUGAGGUAACGGCUCACCAAGACUUCGAUGUCUAGGGGUUCUGAGAGGAUGAUC